rnacentral:lncRNA from 1 species
AGUCAUUCUUCUGGCAAACAUAUGUGGAAGGCCUCCGGGGUAGCACACCCUUCACCGUGCCCUGGAGAUGCUGGGAUGCGACAAAAAAGUAGGCUUCUCCCAUGAUGAACCUCACGGGUUAGUUGUGGGGGCGGCGGGGACGUGGGGGGUGGAGAGAGAGAGAGAGAGAGAGAGAGAGAGAGAGAGAGAGAGAGAGAGAGAGAUUGUGUACAACAGAAAAGCAAAUGGAUAUGUAAUUCUAAACUGAAAUCAGCCCCAGAAGGAGCGGGGCCCCAGUCAAUCCAGGGACCUAAAAGUCAGGGAAGGUUCCCUGAAGACCAUGAGGCUGGGCUGCUCCUGGAAGUGUGUGCCUGGGGUGGGAGCGUGCUGAAUGAUGAGGGUGGAACCUUGGGCUGGGGGCCAGCCAUGGCAGGGUAAGGCUGCAAGGGAAGGUAAAGGUUGCUCUCCAUCUUGAGACCAGAGGGGCUGCGAGCAGGGGAGUGAUGAGGUCAGCUUUGCAUUUCCAGAAUCUUCAGGCUGCUGCAGCAAGGAGAACAGACUGGGGGGAAGCCCAGUAGGGGAUGUUGGGGGCCAGGACCAUGGUGGUGGUGACUUGGUGGGAUGGGAGGGGGAAUGACUUGGCGGAAUGUUCCAGAGCAUCGAUGGGGCUUGGAGUGCAUUGGGUGUGGGGGCCGUGGGAGAAGGAAGGGUGAGUGUGAAACUGGAGGAAGGGUGUUUUUGUAAAGUCUCCUGCAGAGCUUGUCUUCCCCAUCCCAAUUCCUUCUAGCCCCAUCUCUGGCUCUGUCAGCAGCUGUCCAUACAGGAAAAAAGAUGAGACUCAUCUCCUGUGGCUGAGAGGGGUGGCGGCAGGCGGGCGGGGAGGAGGGAAGGCAGCCGCUGUGCUGGCGGCUGCGGUCUGCACCUUUCUCUCAGCCUCAGCAGAAGCAGUAGCAGAAGCCACUGCAGCAGGGAGAGGAUGGCCAGGCUGCAGCACCUGCUGGGGCGACUGGGAGGGCCCGGGAGCAGGUGCAGGGCGUCUGGAGGGGGUCUGUUUGCAGAUGGAUGAGAGCAACACACACUCUGCCCCGCUUCUCUGUUGUCUGGACACAAAAGGCCAGACAAAGAAGCAGCAGGGAUGGAGACACGGCCCUGCACGCACGUAGGCAAGCGCACACGCUGGAGACAAAAGAGAGGCAGAGGCGAGGUGCAUGGAGCAGGGAGCCUGGGGGCAGGGGGAGGCUCCCUGCGACCUCAGGCAAGGUCUCCUGGCCUCCUGAGCCUUGCUGUGUGCACCAUAAAAUACAGAUGCUGGGGGAAACCAGUGGUCCCUGGACUUUCAUAGUUUGAUGGGGUUUUGUUUUUUUUUUUUGUCUUAAUGGAAAAUGGGUCAUAGACUCCAUAAAGUAGAGGAUACAUUUUCAGGUCCUGCCAAUGGAGAAAAGACCUGAUAAUUUUUUUUAAGUGCCGCUAAUGUAGUAGAGUAUCUACACUGCCCUGAAUUAUAGUCAAAGCAACAGCAUCUGCUCACGCAGAAAGAACAGCAACUGUGUCUGUGGACUGGACUUGAUAUGUGUGUGCACUGCAGACAGUGUUGGUGUCUGUUUAGCUUCUAAGAUCCUUUAUAAUAACUAACCAGGUAUAAGAACUCUAGGUCUUGUGGGGAGUCUCUAAUGGCCUUGAGAGAGAAAGAGAGAGAGAGAGUGAGAGGGAGAGAGCGAGAGAGCGAGACAGAGAGAGAGAGAGAGAGAGAGACUACCAGGCUGAAGUCAAAUCACUUGCAUGAGGCCCAAAAACUGGGAGCAGGAACCACAGAAUAUUCACAGGAAGGAGGAAAAAAUUCAGAAAAAUAAUAGUUCAAAGUCAUAUUUCAUACUAAUGUGAGAGAGAGAGAGAGCAUUUACUGAGCAAUGUGACAGGGCCAUGUGUUUUCUGCACUCAGACCACUUAGUUCUUUCAAAAGCCCUGCAAGUGAGGUUAUGUAAUCUCCGUUUUACAGAAGAGGAAACUGAAGCCCAGAGGGUUGAAGUUCCCUACCCAAAGUCACAUGGUGGGUAAGGGGCAAGGGUGGGAUUCAAAUUUAGUUCUGUCUGACUCCUGAGUCCAUGUAUUCACUGCCCGCCCUGGCUGGGAGGAAGGCAGAGAAAGGAAACAAGACAGAGUGUCAGGUGGCAAAGAGCCUGGCAGUCCCUGGUGGAUUCCUCCCCACUAUUCCUGCAGACUGAAGGAGACCAGGCCCCGGGUGCUGCCCAUCACUUCUCAAACCCUGUUUCCUUGUGUGCCCAAGGCAGACAACAGUGCCCAGCUCAUGGGAGCUGUUGUGUCAAUUGGAUGAGGGCACAUGCUUGGUCUGUGCAAGGGGCAGCCUGGAGGUGGCAAGAAGUUGAUGUCCAGGGAUCAUCCUUCAACCAUAAGAGAUAAAAGCAGGUGGAGGGCAGGGCACAGUGGCUCACGCCUGUAAUCCCAGCACUUUGGGACACUGAGGCGGGUGGAUCACGAGGUCAAGAGAUUGAGACUAUCCUGGCCAACAUGGUGAAACCCCGUCUCUACUAAAAAUACAAAAAUUAGCUGGGUGUGGUGGCAUGCGCCUGUAGUCCCAGCUACUCGGGAGGCUGAGGCAGCAGAAUUGCUUGAACCUGGGAGGCAGAGCUUGUAGUGAGCCGAGAUCAUGCCACUGCAUUCCAGCCUGGCAACAGAGCGAGACUCCGUCUCAAAAAAAAAAGUGAGUGGAGGAGUUCCACGACAUCCUCGACCUGGGGUAGGACAUGUCGGGUGUGUCCGACAGUCUCCCAGAAGACCUCAGCAGGACUGAGUUCUAGUCGCUAACAACUUGCUCAUAGUUAUGGAGUAAAUUGUGCUCUCUCCACUCAAAUUCUUAUGUUGAAUUCUUAACCCCCAAUGUGACUACAUUGGAAGAUAGGGCCUCUAAAGAAGUAAUUAAGGUAGAAUGAGGUAGAAAGGGUGAGACCCUAAUCUGACAGGACCAAUGUCCUUAUGAGAAGAGGGAGAGACACCCGGGUUGUGUGUGCACAGAGAAAAGACCACAUGAGGACACAGUGAGAAGCUGCCAUCUGUGAAUCGAGGAGAGAGGCCUCAGGAGAAGUUGACCCUGCUUCUACCUUGGUCUUGGACUUCCAGCCUCCUUAAGUUGUUUGUUAAGACACCCCAGUCUAUGGUAUUUUGUUAUGACUGUCCUUGCUGACAAGUAUCCUCUUUAAUGUACCUAUUCCAGAUUUCUCCUCUUCCCUGUCUCCCUAACCUGCUCCCUUACCAAGGCUUCCUGGUACCAAUACCUCCUAAAUAAACAACUUGCAUUUGAAUCCGUGUCUCAGGAUCUGUAUCUGGGGUGAUCCAGGCUUAUAAUCCCCAUUUAUCCUUUAUCUAGAGAGACUGCUGACUUUCACACAUUUAGGCGCCACUGGGGGCAGGACAGAGAUAAGAUUUUGGAGACCACUGAGCUCUAGUUGACCAUGGCAUUGAUCCUGAGCCCAUGCCCAGAUGAACAGACCCUGGAGUGACCCAAGCAUGGCAGUGGGGUCAUUGUUCAGCUGGCUGAGGGGUGGUACAUCCCUUCCUAGGGGAAAAAAGGAUUCAGGAUGAUGCAGAUGGGUUUUCAGAGAGUCUGAGGGCAGCUUCUGGAAUCAGACAGCACUGGGUU